rnacentral:rRNA from 1 species
CCCUUAGACGUUCUGGGCCGCACGCGCGCUACACUGACCAGUGCAACAAGCAUCCGUCCUUGGCCGACAGGCUCGGGCAAUCUUUGAACGCUGGUCGUGAUGGGGAUAGACUUUUGCAAUUUUUGGUCUUCAACGAGGAAUUCCUAGUAAACGCAAGUCAUCAACUUGCAUUGAUUACGUCCCUGCCCUUUGUACACACCACCCGUCGCACCUACCGAUUGAAUGGUCCGGUGAAGCCUCCGGAUUGGCGCGCACCUCGGUGCCGCCGAGAAGUUGGCUAAACCUUACCAUUUAGAGGAAGGUGAAGUCGUANCA